rnacentral:rRNA from 1 species
UAGGGAAUCUUCGGCAAUGGACGAAAGUCUGACCGAGCAACGCCGCGUGAGUGAAGAAGGUUUUCGGAUCGUAAAACUCUGUUGUUAGAGAAGAACAAGGACGUUAGUAACUGAACGUCCCCUGACGGUAUCUAACCAGAAAGCCACGGCUAACUACGUGCCAGCAGCCGAGGUAAUACGUAGGUGGCAAGCGUUGUCCGGAUUUAUUGGGCGUAAAGCGAGCGCAGGCGGUUUCUUAAGUCUGAUGUGAAAGCCCCCGGCUCAACCGGGGAGGGUCAUUGGAAACUGGGAGACUUGAGUGCCGAAGAGGAGAGUGGAAUUCCAUGUGUAGCGGUGAAAUGCGUAGAUAUAUGGAGGAACACCAGUGGCGAAGGCGGCUCUCUGGUCUGUAACUGACGCUGAGGCUCGAAAGCGUGGGGAGCAAACAGG